rnacentral:rRNA from 1 species
UACAGGGGGGGGCAAGCGUUGUUCGGAAUUACUGGGCGUAAAGGGCCAGUAGGCGGCCAACUAAGUCACACGUGAAAUCCCCAGGCUUAACCUGGGAACUGCGUGUGAUACUGGAUGGCUUGAAUUCGGGAGAGGGAUGCAGAAUUCCAGGUGUAGCGGUGAAAUGCGUAGAUAUCUGGAGGAACACCGGUGGCGAAGGCGGCAUCCUGGACCGGUAUUGACACUGAAAAGCGAAAGCCAGGGGAGCAAACGGG